CGGUAAUACGUAGGUGGCGAGCGUUGUCCGGAUUUAUUGGGCGUAAAGCGAGCGCAGGCGGUUUUUUAAGUCUGAUGUGAAAGCUUUCGGCUCAACCGAAGAAGUGCAUCGGAAACUGGGAAACUUGAGUGCAGAAGAGGACAGUGGAACUCCAUGUGUAGCGGUGAAAUGCGUAGAUAUAUGGAAGAACACCAGUGGCGAAGGCGGCUGUCUGGUCUGUAACUGACGCUGAGGCUCGAAAGUAUGGGUAGCAAACAGGAUUAGAUACCCUGGUAGUCCAUACCGUAAACGAUGAAUGCUAAGUGUUGGAGGGUUUCCGCCCUUCAGUGCUGCAGCUAACGCAUUAAGCAUUCCGCCUGGGGAGUACGGCCGCAAGGCUGAAACUCAAAGGAAUUGACGGGGGCCCGCACAAGCGGUGGAGCAUGUGGUUUAAUUCGAAGCUACGCGAAGAACCUUACCAGGUCUUGACAUACUAUGCAAAUCUAAGAGAUUAGACGUUCCCUUCGGGGACAUGGAUACAGGUGGUGCAUGGUUGUCGUCAGCUCGUGUCGUGAGAUGUUGGGUUAAGUCCCGCAACGAGCGCAACCCUUAUUAUCAGUUGCCAGCAUUAAGUUGGGCACUCUGGUGAGACUGCCGGUGACAAACCGGAGGAAGGUGGGGAUGACGUCAAAUCAUCAUGCCCCUUAUGACCUGGGCUACACACGUGCUACAAUGGAUGGUACAACGAGUUGCGAACUCGCGAGAGUAAGCUAAUCUCUUAAAGCCAUUCUCAGUUCGGAUUGUAGGCUGCAACUCGCCUACAUGAAGUCGGAAUCGCUAGUAAUCGCGGAUCAGCAUGCCGCGGUGAAUACGUUCCCGGGCCUUGUACACACCGCCCGUCACACCAUGAGAGUUUGUAACACCCAAAGUCGGUGGGGUAACC
rnacentral:rRNA from 2 species